rnacentral:sRNA from 1 species
AAAAAUUGAAGUGGGAGUAUGGAUAUACGGACCCCACUCCCC